rnacentral:lncRNA from 1 species
CUACUCAGUUCUGUGCAGGCAUGCUUGUUUGCCCCUCAGUGCAGUACCUCCCUGUCUUCUUCAGCCUAGAGUGCCCCUUGAACUUUCAUUGUACAUGACCAUGGCUGUCUGGAAGAAUGCAGGGAGGUAUCUGAUAGCACAGUUUCCAGCUUGGCUUUAAGCGAUGAUGUUUUUUUAUGUUGGAAUCCAGGUUCUAUAUUUUGGCAAGGAUGGGCCAGAGGUGAUGUGCUUAAUUAAGUACAUUGUAGCAGGAGGAACAGUUACCAACCUCUGCCAGGACUGGUGAUUCUACAUCGAGCUCUUGCUGGAGAAGGAGCCUGCAAGCCCUGCUCUCUCUCUUGGUGGGAGAGAGAUAUUUUGGGUCUGUAUAAUCAUUCUUUUUCUCAUUAUGCAUGCUACUAAUUUUAGCAACAAUUAAUAAUACUCACAUGCAAUAAUCAUCACUGUGGUUCUUGCCAAACCCUGGUUUUCUAUUUCUAUCACUCAGCCCCUGGUUGUUCAUUGGGAUUGACACCGAUCUGGUUCCUGCAUGUUUACUCGGCUGUGUGUACCGCUGUGGGCUAGUGAUCGCUCAUUCGGCACAGAUGUCUACUCUGUCACUGCAUAUGUUCUCUACUUGUCUUGCUUUUGCUGCAUAUCUCUGCUAUAAACUCAAUCUGCCCCAGGGCCUUUGAACACACUAGCCUUUAAAGCCAGUUCGGUGGGUCGGCUAGAAAGCUGCAUGUGUGGCAAGCUCAGAUUGUCUUUUCAGGCCACUUGUUCCAGUUCUCAAGUGCAUGUCACCAUUUAGAAGAUAAGUCUCCAUCAGGUGAGAAUUGCUGAGGCCAUGCCCAGCCUGGGGACUUUUAAUCAGCUGAAUUGGCCAGAGAUACUGUCCAGUGCAGAGACAGCACCACGGCUGAGGAUGGCCGGACCAUUACAAAAGGAACCCACAGAGAAGUAGAGGCACCAGCCAAAAGCAAUGUUAACCACA